GACGAACGCUGGCGGCGUGCUUAAUACAUGCAAGUCGAACGAAGUGGCGAACGGGUGAGUAAUACGUGGGUAACCUGCCUCCUUUUUUGGGAUAAGCCUUGGAAACGGUGUCUAAUACCGCCUAUAGGUGGAUGGGUUCGCGGCCUUUCAGCUUGUUGGUGGGGUGGUGGCCUACCAAGGCGGCGCCGGGUAGCCGGCCUGCGAGGGUGACCGGCAACAUGGGGACGGAGAGACGGCCCAGGGUGGUACGGGAGGGGGCAGUGGGGGAAAUUGCGCAAUGGGGGAAAGGCUAAUGCGGCGACGCCGCGUGGGGGAUGAAGGCUUUCGGGUUGUAAGCCUCAGACGCAAUCGGACGGGUAGGUGGAGAAGAAGCGCCGGCUAACUACGUGCCAGCAGCCGCGGUAAUUC
rnacentral:rRNA from 1 species